rnacentral:rRNA from 1 species
AUUGAACGCUGGCGGCAUGCCUAACACAUGCAAGUCGAACGAAGGGUUUGGUGGAGCUUGCUUCACCAGGCCACUGAGUGGCGGACGGGUGAGUAACGCGUAGGUAACCUGCCCUGAAGCGGGGGAUAGCCCGGGGAAACCCGGAUUAAUACCGCAUAAGCUCACGGAUUGGGAUGUCUGUGAGAAAAGGAGCAAUCCACUUCAGGAUGGGCCUGCGUCCUAUCAGCUAGUUGGUGGGGUAAUGGCCUACCAAGGCGAAGACGGGUAGCCGGUCUGAGAGGAUGAACGGCCACACUGGAACUGAGACACGGUCCAGACUCCUACGGGAGGCAGCAGUGGGGAAUUUUGCGCAAUGGGGGAAACCCUGACGCAGCGACGCCGCGUGGAGGACGAAGGCCUUCGGGUUGUAAACUCCUUUAGUGCGGGAAGAGGCCGCAAGGUGACGGUACCGCAAGAAUAAGCCACGGCUAACUCCGUGCCAGCAGCCGCGGUAAUAC